rnacentral:rRNA from 1 species
AUGAACGCUGGCGGCGUGCCUAAUACAUGCAAGUCGAGCGAACAGACGAGGAGCUUGCUCCUCUGACGUUAGCGGCGGACGGGUGAGUAACACGUGGAUAACCUACCUAUAAGACUGGGAUAACUUCGGGAAACCGGAGCUAAUACCGGAUAAUAUAUUGAACCGCAUGGUUCAAUAGUGAAAGACGGUUUUGCUGUCACUUAUAGAUGGAUCCGCGCCGCAUUAGCUAGUUGGUAAGGUAACGGCUUACCAAGGCAACGAUGCGUAGCCGACCUGAGAGGGUGAUCGGCCACACUGGAACUGAGACACGGUCCAGACUCCUACGGGAGGCAGCAGUAGGGAAUCUUCCGCAAUGGGCGAAAGCCUGACGGAGCAACGCCGCGUGAGUGAUGAAGGUCUUCGGAUCGUAAAACUCUGUUAUUAGGGAAGAACAAAUGUGUAAGUAACUAUGUACGUCUUGACGGUACCUAAUCAGAAAGCCACGGCUAACUACGUG